UACAGAGGAUGCAAGCGUUAUCCGGAAUGAUUGGGCGUAAAGCGUCUGUAGGUGGCUUUUUAAGUCCGCCGUCAAAUCCCAGGGCUCAACUCUGGACAGGCGGUGGAAACUACCAAGCUGAGUACGGUAGGGCAGAGGGAAUUCCGGUGGAGCGGUGAAAUGCGUAGAGAUCGGAAAGAACACCAACGGCGAAAGCACUCUGCUGGGCCGACACUGACACUGAGAGACGAAAGCUAGGGGAGCGAAUGGG
rnacentral:rRNA from 1 species